GGGGCGUAACUUUGGGUUCAACAUUGGGGGGUUAAGAUCUCCAACUAUCUAGGGAGGUCCUGGGACACGUCUGCAUGGAUUCAAAAAAGCGA